ACUGUGAAGUUAUCCUGCAGCCCUUUGACUUUUGUCCUAACUUUUUUUCAGAUGCAGAAGGCGAAAAUCCCUGUCAGAGCACCCCAUCCUGGGUGAGGGGGUUCCCACAAGCAGGAAGUAUAGCUGGAUCCCAGCAGUCAAGAUGAAGGGUGCAAGGCAAUCCAUUCGGAGUAUGCCGAGCUCUUGUCUCCAACCAGCCGACGCACCGGAUUUGCUGCCCUCGUGAGCCCCGUGCAAGUCUUACUGGAUUUGGCCAUGAAGCCUUUGCCUUCUGUAUUCAAAAGUGUCACCUGGGUAGCCUUCGGCAACGGCCGAGGAGUUGCUGUGAGUCGUGGAAGUAGGGAGGAGGAGGGAUGGUCCACUCUGGUUUCAGCAAUGCCACAUCAUCUCCUAUCCUCUUAACCUAGGUGCCCCCCGUGAUGAAGGUGUCUGCCUCUGAGAGCAGCCAAAGCGUGUGACCGGAGGAGCUGGGCAUUUGUAGGAGAAUGCUCUCCAAGCGACAGCGGCCUGGUGCCGUCGGGAGCUUCCCAGCUGACAAGGCAGCCUUCCUUUGCACCUGACACGAACCGGCAUCCCCAGAUGUCCGAGAGAUAAGUGGAGGGCUACGACCCAGAGAGGGGAUGAAAGUGGGAUGCUGGGUUGGGGUUCCCUGGAGAUGGAAGCGGUGGGGGGGAGGGGGGUUGGUGUGAGUUGGCUCUAGAGAUGAGGCUAGCCUUAGGCCCCAUAAAAGGGAAGUCUCACUUUUGAACACAGUGCUGAGCUGCGCAGGGCAGAGCAGUCCCGGUGUGUAUCCUGUCACUUGUCUGUCGUGCAUUUUGUGUUGUUUGGGUACCUCAUGUCUCUUCUCUUGGCCCUUUUAAGGGCCAGUCAGAAACCCUGGCAUUGUUCUUAGCAUCUGUGAUCUCUGCCUUCCUUGGCCUGGCACCCAGGCCAUACAAAUUCUGACUCGGGAGCACAGACAGGUAUCAGAAUUGCAUCUCUCUUUGGAAGCAUCCGGUCAGAUGUCUUUUCAGGUCUUGUUCUGAGCUGUACAGACAGCUACGCCCCGCCAGGAUCCAUUACGGCGGAUUAGGACUUGUAAGAAUGCGAGGCUCUUAGGCAGAGGCUUCUGACCGCAGGAUUCUCAGGCAUCCAUCUUUGCAGUUCUUGGACUAAAUCAUUCAGUUGGCAUCUUCUUCCUCUAGGGUUCUCUGAGCCUCAUCAGCUUACCAUCGGUCUCACCUCAGUCAUCUCAUUUUGCCUCCUCUCGGUCCUCGCAGUCCUUUUCCUUGCCAAGAGAUUUCUGUCCGUGUUUCGUGCCCGUUGUUUGUCACGUCCUGUCCCGUGUCACGGGUGUCAGCACCUGUUUGUGCUUGAGCUGCUCUGCCCUGCUGCAUAGCCUGGCGUAAUAGCACAAGUCCCAGGGAGUUGAGAUUUGUACUGUGGGGUAUAGUUGGAAUUUACAUGGUAUUCCUAUUCACAAGAUAUUUGGAACUGUGAAGUUAUCCUGCAGCCCUUUGACUUUUGUCCUAACUUUUUUUCAGAUGCAGAAGGCGAAAAUCCCUGUCAGAGCACCCCAUCCUGGGUGAGGGGGUUCCCACAAGCAGGAAGUAUAGCUGGAUCCCAGCAGUCAAGAUGAAGGGUGCAAGGCAAUCCAUUCGGAGUAUGCCGAGCUCUUGUCUCCAACCAGCCGACGCACCGGAUUUGCUGCCCUCGUGAGCCCCGUGCAAGUCUUACUGGAUUUGGCCAUGAAGCCUUUGCCUUCUGUAUUCAAAAGUGUCACCUGGGUAGCCUUCGGCAACGGCCGAGGAGUUGCUGUGAGUCGUGGAAGUAGGGAGGAGGAGGGAUGGUCCACUCUGGUUUCAGCAAUGCCACAUCAUCUCCUAUCCUCUUAACCUAGGUGCCCCCCGUGAUGAAGGUGUCUGCCUCUGAGAGCAGCCAAAGCGUGUGACCGGAGGAGCUGGGCAUUUGUAGGAGAAUGCUCUCCAAGCGACAGCGGCCUGGUGCCGUCGGGAGCUUCCCAGCUGACAAGGCAGCCUUCCUUUGCACCUGACACGAACCGGCAUCCCCAGAUGUCCGAGAGAUAAGUGGAGGGCUACGACCCAGAGAGGGGAUGAAAGUGGGAUGCUGGGUUGGGGUUCCCUGGAGAUGGAAGCGGUGGGGGGGAGGGGGGUUGGUGUGAGUUGGCUCUAGAGAUGAGGCUAGCCUUAGGCCCCAUAAAAGGGAAGUCUCACUUUUGAACACAGUGCUGAGCUGCGCAGGGCAGAGCAGUCCCGGUGUGUAUCCUGUCACUUGUCUGUCGUGCAUUUUGUGUUGUUUGGGUACCUCAUGUCUCUUCUCUUGGCCCUUUUAAGGGCCAGUCAGAAACCCUGGCAUUGUUCUUAGCAUCUGUGAUCUCUGCCUUCCUUGGCCUGGCACCCAGGCCAUACAAAUUCUGACUCGGGAGCACAGACAGGUAUCAGAAUUGCAUCUCUCUUUGGAAGCAUCCGGUCAGAUGUCUUUUCAGGUCUUGUUCUGAGCUGUACAGACAGCUACGCCCCGCCAGGAUCCAUUACGGCGGAUUAGGACUUGUAAGAAUGCGAGGUUCUUAGGCAGAGGCUUCUGGCCGCAGGAUUCUCAGGCAUCCAUCUUUGCAGUUCUUGGACUAAAUCAUUCAGUUGGCAUCUUCUUCCUCUAGGGUUCUCUGAGCCUCAUCAGCUUACCAUCGGUCUCACCUCAGUCAUCUCAUUUUGCCUCCUCUCGGUCCUCGCAGUCCUUUUCCUUGCCAAGAGAUUUCUGUCCGUGUUUCGUGCCCGUUGUUUGUCACGUCCUGUCCCGUGUCACGGGUGUCAGCACCUGUUUGUGCUUGAGCUGCUCUGCCCUGCUGCAUAGCCUGGUGUAAUAGGACGUCCCUGGGGAGUUGAAAUUUGAAAUCUGCAAAUUUGUGAUGUAUACUUUCACUCUAGAUUUGUAGAUGGACAUAAAGUGUUUGUAGCUUUUGAGUUAUCCUGCAUGUAUGUGACAUAUGUUCUAACUUCCUUUCAGGUGCAGAUGCAUUACAUCUGUGGCAGAGGGUUAGGAGGAGCCGUGCCAUUCUUAGGAGAAUGCUGUCGAUGAGAUGAUAGCCCGGUGCUAGCAGGAACUUCCCAGCCUGUGAGGCGGCACGCCUUCGCAGCUGACACGGACCGGCCUCCCCAGAUGUCUGAAAGAUAAGUUGACGGCUAUGACCCACAGAAGGAAUGAAAGUGGG